GAUGAACGCUGGCGGCGUGCUUAACACAUGCAAGUCGAGCGAGAAGUUUUGAAAAGAUUCUUCGGAUGAAAUUUAAAAUGGAAAGCGGCGGACGGGUGAGUAACGCGUAGGCAACCUGCCCCAUACAAAGGGAUAGCAUUUGGAAACGAAUAUUAAUACCUUAUGAAACUUAACUAGUGCAUGCUAGGUAGGUCAAAGAUUUAUCGGUAUGGGAUGGGCCUGCGUCUGAUUAGCUAGUUGGUGAGGUAACGGCUCACCAAGGCGACGAUCAGUAGCCGACCUGAGAGGGUGAACGGCCACAUUGGAACUGAGACACGGUCCAAACACCUACGGGAGGAAGCAGUGGGGAAUAUUGCACAAUGGGGGAAACCCUGAUGCAGCAACGCCGCGUGAACGAUGAAGGCCUUUGGGUCGGAAAGUUCUGUUCUAGGUGAUGAAAACUGACAGUAACCUAGGAGAAAGCCCCGGCUAACUCCGUG
rnacentral:rRNA from 1 species